GGCACCUGGGAUAGGAAGAAAGGUUUCCAGGCUUCACUCAUCACACAGAAAACCCAGCUCAGAGUUGGCUUAAAUCCCCCAGUAAGGAAGAGCAGAAAGAAAUCACACAGAUCUGGGAUGGAGUACAAGAGAGAAGAGACUGAAUUGUGAUAGCUGGAACCAUGGAUGAGAGAACAGCACACACCCAUCAGAAAAUGUGCCUGGAGCACCUCCUGGGUGGCAGCCUGUUGCAGCAGCACUCAUGAGUCUGGGCACAUACAUUCUGGGAUAGGUGUCCAGGUAUAUUCUGCUAUCAAUAUUGCUAGAAAGUUACCAAAACACCCUGAGCCUCAAUUUCUUUAUUGGUAAGUGGAAAGAAUAAUAACACCUAUAGGCUUGUCAUAAAGGUUAUAGAAGAAUAAAAUGUAAUGUUUACUGAGCACUAUUUAUUAUGGUUAAUACUGAGGGUCAACUUGAUUGGAUUGAAGGAUACAAAGUAUUGAUCCUUGGUAUGUCUGUGAGGGUGUUGUCAAAGGCGAUUAAUAUUUGAGUCAGUGGGCUAGGAAAGGCAGACCCACCCUUAAUCUGGGUGGGCACAAUCUAAUCAGCUGCUGGUGCAGCUAGAAUAUAGGCAGGCAGAAAAGUGUGAAAAGAGAGACUGGCCUAGCCUCCCAGACUACAUCUUUCUCCUGUGCUGGAUGCUUCCUGCUCUUGAAUAUCG
rnacentral:lncRNA from 10 species